rnacentral:rRNA from 1 species
GACGAACGCUGGCGGCGUGCUUAACACAUGCAAGUCGAACGGAAAGGCCUGCUUUCCCUUGUGGAUUGCGGGUACUCGAGUGGCGAACGGGUGAGUAGCACGUGAGUGAUCUGCCCCCAACUUGGGUAUAAGCCUGGGAAACUGGGUCUAAUUCCCGAUAGGACUGCAGGGUGGUGCCUGUGGUGGAAAACGAUUUUCUAGUGGUUGGGGAUGAGCUCGCGGCCUAUCAGCUUGUUGGUGGGGUAAUGGCCUACCAAGGCGGCGACGGGGAGCCGGCCUGAGAGGGUGGACGGCCACAUUGGGACUGAGAUACGGCCCAGACGCCUAGGGGAGGCAGCAGUGGGGAAUAUUGCACAAUGGGCGGAAGCCUGAGGCAGCGACGCCGCGUGGGGGAUGACGGCCUUCGGGUUGUAAACUCCUUUCGACAGCGAGGAAGCCACCUGGUUGGAAGGGUGGUGACGGUAGUGGUAGAAGAAGCACCGGCUAACUACGUG